rnacentral:misc_RNA from 1 species
AUCGGAAUGUUCAUCAUCAGCACCAGUAUAUGUGUGGAUGGGAAGUGGGCAGGAGUUCUCAGUCCUCUAUUUACCAUGGCAAUCCUGCUUUUCCUUAGUGGAAUUCCUCUGUUGGAGAAAAAAUCAGAUGAGAGAUACAGAAAAAACGAGGAAUACUUGCAAUACAAGAACAGGACCAGUCCCUUGGUUCCCCUACCCCCUCCCUGCUAUGGCUGUCUCCCAAGGGCCUUCAAGUGCCUGUGUUGCUGUGAGUUCCCCCUAUACAACUAUCUAGACCCAGAGGAUGAAAGAAUCAGCAUCAAACCCAGCAAUGAGGAACCUUACAAUGAAAACGCCAAAGUCUAGUAUCUUUGUAAAAGUUAUGUUUGUAUAUUCCUAAUUUAAGUGAAUGUAUUGCUGCAUUUUAUUUCAUUUUGCAGAAUUACCAUGUAUUUAAAAUGUGAAUGAAAUGUAAGGAAACUACAUGUAGUUAGCAAGUGACAUUCAACAUUUUUGUAUAUAUAUAAAUCAUUGACAUUCUUUUUAUUUUUUUACCAAUUCAUGAAUUAGUGUUUGAAAAAAAGCCCACUUAGUAUAUAUAUCUUUGUAAGUUUAUUUUAUGUAAUCAUACUCGUCGAUCAUUUUGUCUCAAGUCAUCAGUGGAAUCCAGUUUUCAAAUCUUUCCAAUUCCUAUUAACAUUAUAUCUUGUGUACAAAACAAGUUAAUACCAAUGUUGCUGGUUACUGUGAACACUAAUGCCAUUACAUGUACAUGUAACAAGCCUGUGGACGUACAUUUUUGGUGCUACUUAAUAGACAUGUCUCUGUACCUACAUAGAUGACCAUACUUGAGUAAAAACUAAUGGUAUACAUUCUGUUUAGGUCCUACAUAAAGCCAAGUUGGGGUGAUUGAUGGUGCUAGGGUGUGUUUUGUUUUUUUGAGUCUUGUUAAAGAAUGUUGUUUGACUGGCAUGCCCAUAAAACUUUGUUUAGAUGCUGAAAAAAUUACACCUUUUUGAUUCAAUAAAACCAUUUAUUAAGUUUACUGUUCAAUCUUUGUCAGCAUUUGUGUGGUGUGUUGAUGUUUGUUAUGUUAGAAGUAUUUUUAUAUGACUCACAUUUGCUGAAUUAGAUCACCUCACAUUGUGGAGUGUGUCUGUUUGUAUCAUAUAUGUAAUCCAUGCAUUUCUUUUCAUGUCAAGUGCCAUUCUUACAAAAGACCAAGCAGUUCAAUUGUAAUUUUUUUGUUUGUAAAAUUUUUAACCAAAUUUUUUCACAUUUUUGGGAAGGGGGAAGUUUAAAGUGUAAGACUAUUUCAUGCACAUUUUGAAUAAGAAAUUAGUAGGAUAGAAAAGCUUAGAUAUAUGCACAAGCCGAUGAACAAGUAACCCAAAUUCUGUUGUUUGAAAUAUAAGAUCAUUUAUACUGUUUUCCAAUACAUGUAUGCAGACCAUCUACCUCCCUAUUCUCUUGAUUAUAGUUUUAUUAUAAACUACUUAUAGAUCUACAUGUACUGAUUUUAAGAAACGUAAUACAUUGUUUUAUCAAUUUAUCCUGAACAAAAACUACCACAUUUUUCUUGUUUUGUAAAAUUGUUGUAAUAAACUUUCCAGC